rnacentral:rRNA from 1 species
AUUUUGGACAAUGGGGGAAACCCUCAUCCAGCCAUCCCGCGUGUAUGAUGAAGGCCUUCGGGUUGGAUAGUACUUUUGGCAGAGAAGAAAAGGUAUCUCCUAAUACGAUAUACUCCUGACGGUAUCUGCAGAAGAAGCACCGGAGAAUUACGUUCCAGCUGCCGCGGUAAUACGUAGGGUGCAAGCGUUAAGCGGAAUUACUGGGCGUAAAGCGUGUGUAGGCGGUUCGGAAAGAAAGAUGUGAGAUCCCAGGGCUCAACCUUGGAACUGCAUUUUUAACUGCCGAGCUAGAGUAUGUCAGAGGGGGGUAGAGUUCCACGUGUAGCAGUGAAAUGCGUAGAUAUGUGGAGGAAUACCGAUGGCGAAGGCAGCCCCCUGGGAUAAUACUGACGCUCAGACACGAAAGAGUGGGGAGCAAACAGG